rnacentral:lncRNA from 1 species
UUUUUAUAAGUUUCAUUAUAGAUAGAGAUAAUUGUAGCAACAGGAAUGUUCAGUAAAGUUAAAUCUACAAACACAUCACCAUCACCAAAACUCAAUUGUGUCAUGAAUUUAUCUGUGUCCAUUGUUUAAUAUGCUCAUAGACCAAGGUGAGCGACACAGACUCUUGAGAGCCUCUAGUUUGUCUAUUAAUUAUAUGUUUAUACAAUUGUGGCAGCAUAUCAAAUAUUGUCAUUGGUCAAUUAUGAUAGUAACAAAAAUUACAUAUUGGGUUAGUCCCAAAAGUAUCUCAUAUUGGGUUAGUCCCAAAAAUAUACAUAUUGGGUUAGUCACAAAAAGGACACAUAUUGGGUCAGUCACAAAAAUAAAAAUUUAAGCAUGGGGUUAAUCCUAAAAAAAAAAUGACAUAAAUUGGGUAAGUCACAAAAAAAUCACACUUUGCGUUAAUCAUAAAAAUGACAAAUUGGGUUAAUCACAAAAAUGACACAUAUUGGGUUAGUCCCAAAAAUUACACAUUUGGUUGAUCACAAAAAUGACAAAUUGGGUUAAUCACAAAAAUGACACAUUUGGUUAAUUACAAAAAUGAUAAAUUGGGUUUAUCACAAAAAUGACACAUAUUGAGUUAAUCACAAAAAUGGCACAUAUUGGGUUAGUCACAAAAAUGACACAUUUGGUUAAUCACAAAAAUGACAAAUUGGGUUAAUUACAAAAAUGACACAUAUUGGGUUUGUCACAAAAAUGACACAUAGCAGCUGGUUAAUAUGCAACAGUAAAAAAAGUAGAAAUUUAAAUGUUUAAUGUUUUUAAAGGUCUUGGAUAUUAGCUGAUUCAAAAGGAUACUGAGGAAUACAU